rnacentral:lncRNA from 1 species
UUUGAGCCAUUACCCAUUUGUUUGUUUAAACACCACAUCAACCCAUGGUGCAAAACACUUCCCCACCAUGUUCAGAGUAUUUAUAUGAGUUAUCAGAGCUAGGUUCAUUCUAAGUUUGGGGUUGUUGUUGGAAUAACAACCUUUAAGUUUGGGGUAGCUGUGCAGUAUUAGUAUAAAUGAGGGCACCUGAUAAUUGAAAAAAAAAAGAGAAGAGAAAAGAUGAAAAUUUGAAAAAUC